GGAAUUUAAAGGUGCAUCUCAAACUAGUGAAUGUGUUUCCCAGAGACAGAGAAACAGCCUGAGCGUCCAGAAAUUCCCAUGGAUGUGCAAGAGGAGGACAUAGUAUCGGAAUCUCAAGCUUGUGUAUCUUCCGGGGCAAAUAAAGACCUGUGCACAGGGGCGCAGUGCUGCAGGGAAGGUUUUGUGAAUCCUCUUCCAGGCACAAUUCCCUUCUAGGCCCACAAGAAAAGACAAGGCAGGCUUUGGCACUUAGUCUCUGGGCUAAAUUGAGAGUCAUCUUAAUCUUAAUGGGAAUCGUUUGUACCUGUCACUUACCUGGAGCCUGGCAAAUGGAGACAGCCCAGGGCAGCACAUAGAAGACACACCUCUGCCAG